rnacentral:rRNA from 1 species
CAGUAGCCGCGGGAAUACAGAGGGUGCGAGCGUUAAUCGGAUUUACUGGGCGUAAAGCGUGCGUAGGCGGCUUCUUAAGUCGGAUGUGAAAUCCCUGAGCUUAACUUAGGAAUUGCAUUCGAUACUGGGAAGCUAGAGUAUGGGAGAGGAUGGUAGAAUUCCAGGUGUAGCGGUGAAAUGCGUAGAGAUCUGGAGGAAUACCGAUGGCGAAGGCAGCCAUCUGGCCUAAUACUGACGCUGAGGUACGAAAGCAUGGGGAGCAAACAGGAUUAGAUACCCCUGUAGUCCUGUCUCUUAUACA